GUGGGGAAUAUUGGGCAAUGGGGGAAACCCUGACCCAGCAACGCCGCGUGAGUGAAGAAGGCCUUCGGGUUGUAAAGCUCUGUCAUUAGGGAAGAAGAAGUGACGGUACCUAAUGAGGAAGCCCCGGCUAACUACGUGCCAGCAGCCGCGGUAAUACGUAGGGGGCGAGCGUUGUCCGGAAUUACUGGGCGUAAAGGGUGCGUAGGCGGCGUGUUAAGUUGGAUGUGAAAUACCCGGGCUUAACCUGGGGGGUGCAUUCGAUACUGGCAGGCUAGAGUGCAGGAGAGGGAAGCGGAAUUCCUAGUGUAGCGGUGAAAUGCGUAGAUAUUAGGAGGAACACCAGUGGCGAAGGCGGCUUUCUGGACUGUAACUGACACUGAGGCACGAAAGCGUGGGGAGCAAACAGGAUUAGAUACCCCUGUAGUCC
rnacentral:rRNA from 1 species